CUUUCCAGGGAUCUAAUGGUAUGUGUACACUGAGAGCUAAACUUCAGACAAGUGUGUUCUUCAUCCAUACUGUAAUACAGUGACCUCUCUUUUCUUGCAGAAGUAGAUGCGUGCUCCUGUGAAGGAUGAAAACAGCAAUCUCUCCAGCUUGCAGAAGGCUUCUCCAGAUCCUUGUUCUUAAUUGUAGUCAAUAUGAAGCUGUUGAUUGGACUCCGGGAUUACAUCGAACCUUGUUACUAGAUGACUGUGUGAGUGGAGGUGCUACCUGUGAACAGUUUCACACUACUGAAAGGCCUGAAACUAAGAGGCAUUUGUCCUUGAAACCAGUCAUGAAUGGAAGGUGAUGUUGAGAAGUCGUUAUCCAUCACUCUGGAAGAGUUGGUGAUGGGCAGACUGCCUGGCUUCUGGCAUGGCAUUUGGGUACAGGGGAUGGAAAAACAGAAGCUUAUCCAGAAAUCCUGAAAUACAUGGUCUGAUUUUUCCAGAACUGGAACAAGAGAAGCACCUCACCAAAAGAGAGCAAAUGCUGUCAUUUGACCUUUUCAGCCUUUGGAUUCUCAGUGCAUCUGACUCGACCAGGCAGGUCUGGGGAAGAGAAAAAUUAACAGCAGAUGGAUUUAUGAAAAGAGCUCAGUGGCAGAUGGUGCCUACAGAUAUUUACUGACAUGGCCUCGGUCUUACAGGGGGCCUGUGUUGGAGGACAUGUUGCUGUGACAGUGGUGUCUGUAGAUGAUAUGUUGAAGGAGUGCAGAGUCAUGGUCUUACUACUGAAGUAGUAAAAUCCACUGAAGUCAUCCCAUUCCCUUCUCCUUCAGUAGUAGACACCUCCUCAUGUCAUGGAACAGAGCCACGAUACUUGGUAGUUGACUACUUGAUGUUUAUUAAAACUUCCUUCUCCCAAGACAGUGAUUUUUUUUUCCUAUGUAAUUUUAGAAGAAUGCUUGAAAAAGGUGACUUAGAUGAACCCUACAGGCUCAUUAAACAGUGGCAACUGAUAAAUCUUUUCUUUGAUAGUCUCUUGAAUUUUUAAGUCUUGGAGUUGGUAAUGCCCAUACUAUAGAUGUACGGAAAUGAAUAUUUCAGAAGUGGGCCAUACCUUUUAAGUGGGGUGAUUUGAAUAAAUGAUUUCACUUUUCUUCUGCCUUUUAAUUA
rnacentral:lncRNA from 1 species